rnacentral:ncRNA from 4 species
AAGGUAGCCAAAUGCCUCGUC